UACGUAGGAUGCAAGCGUUGUCCGGAAUUAUUGGGCGUAAAGAGCGCGCAGGCGGUAUGACAAGUCAGAUGUGAAAGAGGCCGGCUUAACCGGCAAGGGUCAUUUGAAACUGUCAGACUAGAGUGCAGCAGAGGAUAGUGGAAUUCCCGGUGUAGUGGUGAAAUGCGUAGAUAUCGGGAGGAACACCAGUGGCGAAGGCGACUAUCUGGGCUGCAACUGACGCUGAGGCGCGAAGGCUAGGGUAGCAAACAUG
rnacentral:rRNA from 1 species